CAAGUCUAAAACCCAGCCUUGGCUUUGGAAAUAAAGAGGUCUUUCAGCCUAUUGCGGACCAAGAAAAGUUUAUAAAUAUGGUCAAUCAAGCUUUGAGGCUUUGCAAAGAUUCAAAUCUGCACGAAUUUAUCAUCCAUUACCCAUUAGACGACUCUUCAAGCUGUCAUAUUGACAUUUGGGUUGCUUUUGCCUUUGCCAGGGGCGUUUCCAGGCUUGAACUGGACUUGGGUAUCCUUGCUUGUAGCAACGAGAAAAAUUAUUCUAUCCCAUCUCAACUCUUUGAUAAAAUAAAGGGGAUCAAAUGCCACUUGCAAUUGGAUUCUGUUUCUGCUGUACUUGCCUCUCCUCUUACUGCACAGAACAGCUUAAAGCCUCUUAAAGAACUAAUUCUAACACGUGUGGACAUUACAGAUGAACUUUUUGAAAUGAUUUUAUCUACCUGUUCAUCUCUUGAAUGCCUCCUUUUUGCAGUAGUGAGAAACAAAUCAACGCAAAGCAUACUGGUUCUCACUUAAAGUUGAAAUGCUUGGAGAUGUACCUGUGUAGUGCCUUGGAGAAUUUGGAAAUUUUUGCUCCAAACUUGGUUGUUUUCAGGUAUCAGUGUGCAAGGAUAAAUAUUUCUAUCAGGGAGGCUAAAGAUCUUGUUAAUGUAUGCAUUGUUCCUUUUAGUGGAGUAUAUGCAAAUCCAAAAAAAGUUAUUUGGGUAUGACCUAUCCAGAUAGAUUUUGUUUUAUUUUUGGUCAGUUUGCCGCAUAUCUUCCUCAGCUGGUGUUUUUGACAAUGGAUUUUCAUUGUUUCGAGCUCUACUCGUCUGUCUUAUCCUGCAGUCACUUCCGUAGUCAGGGCAUCUCCAUUACUGCAACGACUUGAGUUACAUACUGAUUCCCUAGCUUAUAGCAGACAAACGUACUUUAAGCAAACACUAAAGAAAGUUCCUAUGUCUCCACACCAAAACCUCAGGGAGUUUCUGCUAUCUGGUUUUGUGGGUCAUGAAUCUCAUAUGGAUCUUAUCAUGUCUAUUUUUGACUAUGCCACUGCACUGGAGAAGGUAGAAAUAAGAACAAGUACUAUGAUAUGGCUUAGAAAUAUCCCAUGUUUUCAUAGAAGAGAUGGUGUUGACACUAAAAAUUGUGCUUUGCAGCUUUCUCAAAUACUGCCUCCAAAUGCCCAGCUAAAAUUUCUUGAAGCUGUAGGGUUUUCCCAAGCAAGACAAAAGAGAGUUUAAUAUAUUAUAUUUAUUAACUAUAUUGUAUAAGCAUUAAGAACCUUUUCUGAUUAUUCUUGUCCUAAUAUAUUAUUUUGGACAAUUUCCUGCUCUCUGUUCAUACACAGCUGCUCCGUUUUUUUGGCUAGUAGAAGAAUGAACUGAA